rnacentral:rRNA from 1 species
UACGAAGGGGGCUAGCGUUGUUCGGAAUUACUGGGCGUAAAGCGCGCGCAGGCGGUCUUCCAAGUCAGUGGUGAAAGCCCGGAGCUCAACUCCGGAACUGCCAUUGAAACUGUAAGACUUGAGGAUGAGAGAGGUGAGUGGAAUUCCCAGUGUAGAGGUGAAAUUCGUAGAUAUUGGGAAGAACACCAGUGGCGAAGGCGGCUCACUGGUCCGGUACUGACGCUGAGGUGCGAAAGCGUGGGGAGCAAACAGG